UACGUAGGGUGCAAGCGUUAUCCGGAAUUACUGGGCGUAAAGAGCUCGUAGGUGGUUUGUCGCGUUGUCCGUGAAAACUCACAGCUUAACUGUGGGCGUGCGGGCGAUACGGGCAGACUGGAGUACUGCAGGGGAGACUGGAAUUCCUGGUGUAGCGGUGGAAUGCGCAGAUAUCAGGAGGAACACCGGUGGCGAAGGCGGGUCUCUGGGCAGUAACUGACGCUGGAGGAGCGGAAAGCGUGGGGAGCAAACAGG
rnacentral:rRNA from 1 species